CGGACGGGUGAGUAACGCGUGGGUAACCUGCCCUGUACACACGGAUAACAUACCGAAAGGUAUGCUAAUACGGGAUAACAUAAGAAAUUCGCAUGUUUUUCUUAUCAAAGCUCCGGCGGUACAGGAUGGACCCGCGUCUGAUUAGCUAGUUGGUGAGGUAACGGCUCACCAAGGCGACGAUCAGUGGCCGACCUGAGAGGGUGAUCGGCCACAUUGGAACUGAGACACGGUCCAA
rnacentral:rRNA from 1 species